GGGGAUUUAGCUCAGUGGUGCCAGUGUCUGCCUUGCAAGCACAAGGUUCUGAGUUUGAUCCCUGGUACCCCCA
rnacentral:tRNA from 1 species